rnacentral:rRNA from 1 species
UACGAAGGGGGCUAGCGUUGUUCGGAAUUACUGGGCGUAAGGCGCACGUAGGCGGAUAUUUAAGUCAGGGGUGAAAUCCCAGAGCUCAACUCUGGAACUGCCUUUGAUACUGGGUAUCUUGAGUAUGGAAGAGGUGAGUGGAAUUCCGAGUGUAGAGGUGAAAUUCGUAGAUACUCGGAGGAACACCAGUGGCGAAGGCGGCUCACUGGUCCAUUACUGACGCUGAGGUGCGAAAGCGUGGGGAGCAAACAGG